rnacentral:rRNA from 1 species
UACGAAGGGGGCUAGCGUUGUUCGGAAUCACUGGGCGUAAAGCGCACGUAGGCGGCUUGUUAAGUCAGAGGUGAAAGCCUGGAGCUCAACUCCAGAACUGCCUUUGAUACUGGCAGGCUCGAGGAUGGCAGAGGUUGGUGGAACUCCGAGUGUAGAGGUGAAAUUCGUAGAGAUUCGGAAGAACACCAGUGGCGAAGGCGGCCAACUGGGCCAUUACUGACGCUGAGGUGCGAAAGAGUGGGGAGCAAACAGG